AUUGAACGCUGGCGGCAGGCCUAACACAUGCAAGUCGAACGGUAACAGGAAACAGCUUGCUGUUUCGCUGACGAGUGGCGGACGGGUGAGUAAUGUCUGGGAAACUGCCUGAUGGAGGGGGAUAACUACUGGAAACGGUAGCUAAUACCGCAUAACGUCGCAAGACCAAAGAGGGGGACCUUCGGGCCUCUUGCCAUCGGAUGUGCCCAGAUGGGAUUAGCUAGUAGGUGGGGUAACGGCUCACCUAGGCAACGAUCCCUAGCUGGUCUGAGAGGAUGACCAGCCACACUGGAACUGAGACACGGUCCAGACUCCUACGGGAGGCAGCAGUGGGGAAUAUUGCACAAUGGGCGCAAGCCUGAUGCAGCCAUGCCGCGUGUAUGAAGAAGGCCUUCGGGUUGUAAAGUACUUUCAGCGGGGAGGAAGGGAGUAAAGUUAAUACCUUUGCUCAUUGACGUUACCCGCAGGAGAAGCACCGGCUAACUCCGUGCCAGCAGCCGCCGUAA
rnacentral:rRNA from 1 species